GCAGUAAGUGGGCUUCUUGGUCACUUUCAGAGCCUUUCUUUAUGGUUCUCACUGUGGUCUUGCAGAAAGAGCUUGGAGGGGGAGGGUAGUUAAGACAGAAGAACAAAGCUGGGGGGUACGCUUUGGGCCCGAAACCGAGAGAAAAGUGAUCCUUUCAUUAAGACGAGUGUUCUUUUGUACCUGCACUGUAUCCUUUUGAUGUGUUGAGGUAGAAAGGAUAUGAGGAAAGAAGAAACAAUGAGAGUUGCUACUGUAUGAAUUCCUUCUCCUUAUACUUAAUCCUGUCCUUAUUGGGGCCUUGGGUGGAAAGCUGAUAAUUUUGGUGAGCCCUAAAAGGAAGGCAGUGGCUUGAAUUCCUGCCACCAUCCCCUUGAUAAUGAACAAGCCUAAUGAAUGUGGGUGGGAAAACUGGAAAGAUUGAAUGUCCUUUGGAGUUCACAGAGGUUUGGCAGUGGGAGGAGAAAAACAAAACGAAGCAUAGUGGGAGUGUUGAACAGACUUUCCCAAGAUCCCCAGGAUCAGUGGAGUGUUGCUGUUCUGGCCAUAAACCUCUGUGGACAGUGGCUCCUUUGCCA
rnacentral:lncRNA from 10 species